GUACAGCAGAGUGAACUAUUCCUGCUAAAAGUGGCCACUGCUGUCAGGGAACAUCUUUGCCAUGAAGGGGAGUACAUGGUCUGCAACAAUCUCUAGGUAGCAGAGACAGAGUAUAACACUGUCUCUGCUGGCCUGCCAACUCUUUCCAGAUAAACCGCACACAUGCACCCAGCCAUCCACAUGAUCCAAAAGGAAACGUGAUUCAGCAGAUCAGCCCAUCCACCCAAAGACCACUUUGUGGUGUCUGAUUAAGGCCCAUGUUUUGCAAAC